GGAGGGGUGAAGUAAAGAGCCGGGAAGUUGAUUGGUGAAAGAGAUACAGGGCUGGAAAAGGGGUAAUCUGAUAGGAGAGAUCAAAAGGCCAUCUAGGAAAGGGAAGGGGGAGCAGCACUAGAGAGAGGCAAUGAGCAGGUAAGGAGAUAAAGUGAGAGAGGGAAAUGGGAAUGGGGAACAGUGAGAUGGGGGGCAUUCCCAGAAGUUGGAGAAAUCAACUUUCAUGCCAUCAGGUUGGAAUAUGAGGUGUUGCUCCUCCAGCCUGAGUGUGGCCUCAUCACGGCGGUAGAGGAGGCCAUGGACUGACAGGUCGGAAUGGGAAAUGGAAGUGGAAUUAAAAUGGGUGACGACUGGAAGAUCCCACAUUUUCUGGCAGACAGAGCGUAGGGUGCUUGGUGAAGCGGUCUCCCAAUCUACGUCAGGUCUCACCGAUAUACAGGAGGCUACAUCAGAGCACCAGCUACAGUAGAUGAACCCAACAGAUGCACAGGUGAAGAACUGUUUAGGGCCCUGAAUGGUCGUGAAGGAGAAGGUGUAUGGGCAGGUGUUGCACUUGUUCAGCUUGCAAGGAUAAGUGUCAGGAGGGAGAUCAGUGGUGAGGGGUAAAUAGACAAGAAGUCGCAUAGGGAGUGAUCCCUGUGGAAAGCAGAAAGUGGGGCUGGGGCAGGGGGAAAGGAGGGAAAGAUGUGCUUGGUGAUGGGAUCCCACUGGAGGUGGUGAAAGUUGCGGGGAAUUACGUGCUGGACGCAGAGGCUGGUGGGGUGGGACAAGAGAAACCCUAUCCCUGGUGGGGUGGUGGGAUGAUGGGGCGAGGGCAGACGUGCGUGAAAUGAAAGAGAUGCAGCUGAGGGCAUUUCCUCUGAAAAUUAUUUGUGUAUAUGGAUUAACCUCUACAUGAAGAAAUUGUCAUUCAGGUCAGUUUCAAAUUUUUCCUCUCUCACUUCAUUUAUCCCUUAUAGGUUUAACAGUUAACUGACAGUCUGACUUUCAAAAUCGUUAAUUUUGUACAUGGCUGAGUAGAGGAAGACUGAAGAAUCUUAUCCCCUAAAUAGAGGGACCGAGCUGUGCCUGACUUCUGGGGCAGUUUGUUAAUCAUUUUCUAUCUGGAAGGCUUGUUGGUAAACCUGGAUGAAAUUUGUUGCUGUGAAGUAGCAACGUCUCUCAGGAAAGUGAUGAAGGCCAUGCUGAGGAAGAGAAACGAUGCCGGAAAGGAAUUGUGGGGUUGGUGGCUAGGAGCUGGUAGUUAUAGUGGUUGGUUGUCGGUGAAGGAGGAAAAGGGAAUCGGAAGCCACCCACAUUUAGAAUUAGUACGGCUACUUCUGAAAGGCCCAAGUAAGAUUGGCAUAUUUUAAAGUCUACUCUUCAAAAAUCUGUUAGAGAACCACCAGAUAGGCAAAAGUUAGCCCUGCUUUGGCCUUAAGACAUGGGAGUGCGGGAGGAGACAGAAAGGAGGCAAUGUGCAUGUUUCCAAAUAUUGGCAAAGCACUCCGAACUUCUAUUUUUUAGCCUUUGCCACCAGCACUGUAGGUAGCACACUCUCGUUGUUAAUAAGACAUAUUUAAGGCUUAAGAAACCAAGUAGCGCCCGACAAGCAGGAGCUGUGUGGGAGAUUUCCUGAAGAAACACACCCCCUCUGACUGUCAAUCAUGUGUGCCUUUGCAGAGUAGUGUGUCCCCAAAGAAUGCGGGCUGUUGAUAGCAAAACCAAAGUAUAGAAAGAAACUGCCCCUUGUAGCAGUGCUGUUUUCCAAUUAGCCCACCUUCGAUUUAUAACUGGCAUGGAAAAUUCCUACAGAUAAUCUUUAACUGUGAUUUCUUUUCAUUUCCUAGUAUUAACUGAGCAGGAGCACCUGGCCUUGACAACAGGGAGUUAAAACAUGAAAGGAAUAAUAGCAGAAUGCUACUGCCUUCCCAUUAAGGAAAUUAUCGAUAUAAAAGGGAGUAAAUAACACUCUCUCCAUACACACAAGAGAUACUGCAGAUACUGGAAUUCCAGAGGAACACAUACAAAAUGCUGGAGGAACUCAGCAGGCUAGGCUGCAUCUUUAGAAAAGUGUAAACAGGCCAAGACCCUUCAUUGGGACUGGAAGAAAAAGGACAAUGGCAUCCCCUAGAGGCAAUGAAACAAAACACAUCCGAAAUGGUCAGUGACGGCAUCUCUGGGAAUUAUGCUUCAUGAAUGGAAAAGCUCAUUGAUGGAAACACUCAGUAGCAGGCCUGUUAAGUGCAACGUUUCUACUCAGUGACCAUCAUCAAGAUUUUAAUUAGGUACUUCCAAGUAUUCCUGGCCAUCCAAUGACUUGAAAACUUAAUGAGUCUGGACGGUUUGAUUGUUUCUUCCUUGGGUAUCUCAAUUUCAUCCUGUUCACAUCAUGAAAAGUAAAAUAUGUGAUAUAUCACAAAUUAUUUGAACAAGCAGUUUCAAGCCUAUUAUUUGGUUUUACCAUUCAGUUCAGAUCAAAGAUGAAGAUGAAUAUUUUUAAUGAUAGAGAAGGUGGAAUAUUAACUGUUGUA